CCAAUAGCGUAUAUUAAAGUUGUUGCAGUUAAAAAGCUCGUAGUUGAAUUUUGGAUUCUGCCAGUUGGUCCAUCUUUUGAUGAGUACUGAUUGUGUGGGGUCUAUCCGCCUGGUGAUACGUAUUGUACUUUAUUGUAUGUUGCGGGUAGUCAGGACCUUUAUCUUGAAAAAAUUAGAGUGUUUAAAGCAGGCUUAUGCCGGAAUACAUUAGCAUGGAAUAAUAGAAUAGGACGAUGUUGUUUUAUUUUGUUGGUUUCUAGGACAACCGUAAUGAUUAAUAGGGAUAGUUGGGGGCAUUAGUAUUCAAUUGUCAGAGGUGAAAUUCUUGGAUUUAUUGAAGACUAACUACUGCGAAAGCAUUUGCCAAGGAUGUUUUCAUUAAUCAAGAACGAAAGUUAGGGGAUCGAAGACGAUCAGAUACCGUCGUAGUCUUAACCAUAAACUAUGCCGACUAGGGAUCGGGCGAUGUUGUUUCCAUGACUCGCUCGGCACCUUAUG
rnacentral:rRNA from 1 species